rnacentral:lncRNA from 1 species
UCUACAUCAUUUUAUCUAAUAUGUACUCAUCCUCGUGUUAGGUAGUUUGUGAGGUACCUGGCAACCAAUUCUUUCUAUGUCUUCUUUUUGAUCCUGUGUACCUAUCUCUUUUCAGAUAAAUGAAAAACUUAGUAUAUACAAAAGAAUAUAUAUACAUGUUAUGAAGUAAAAUAAUAAGCAAAUAUUAAGUAUCUUUUUAUUUGGAAAAAUCUGAUUUUGUUCCAGAUUUAGCAGGUAGUAUUAUAAUUAACAGUUAGUAAAAUGGUGAGUUCAAGAGAGAGAGAUGUCAUUUAUCUAAAAUGUACUCACUCAAAAAACUACUCACAGUAAGGUAUAGCAUGCUCAGCUUGCUUGUAAAGUGUGUGUGUGUGUGUGUGUGUGUGUGUGUGUGUGUCAUAUAACAGAUUUCUGCUUCCAACAAUAUGCCUGGUUAGGAGGUUCAAGGGGACAUCCCUCCACAGAACAACUAAAGUUUGGAAGCAACACACUAUUUGAAAUAUUGCUAGUCACAUAGAAGUAGGAGCAUUUUCCAAAAACGUACUCUCUUUAAAGAAAGUCACUUGGGCCAGAAGAGACAGCAGACAUUCAGGACGAGCAGAAUUCAUGGAGGGAAGCAGUGCUGUCUGGAAACUGAGCCAUUAGCCAGCCUUGGACCAAUAUGAGUCGCAGAACAACAGCCUGGUUCUGACAUAUAGAGUUUAGGUAGUCCCACGUUGAUGGUCAAUAUAUGUUGGCCAAACAUACUUGAAAACAAGCCACUGUUGACUGAGGAAAGGAGAGGAAACAACAGAUCCAGGGGCUGUAGAUAAUGUAAUUGCAGCUAUAGAAUACAGAAUGACUACGUGAACAUUCAAAGCCAAUCAUUAGAUGAAGUCACUUGGUGAAAUCAGAUGAAGAUUUCUAGUUUCUAGAUAACUUCCUCCCCAUAAAGCUUUUCCUGAAGCUCCUGAAGUAUUCAAAUUAGCUUCCCUGCAUUUUGCCACCUACGUGUUCCUCAAAUCUCACUCUGA